UACGUAGGCAGCAAGCGUUGUUCGGAGUUGCUGGGCGUAAAGAGUGCGUAGGCGGUCUUUUAAGUUUGGUGUGAAAUCUCCCGGCUCCAACGUGGGAGGGUGCGCCAAAACUGGGGAGGCGUUGAGGAUGGGGAGAGGCAUGCGGAAUUCCUGGUGUAGCGGUGAAAUGCGUAGAUAUCAGGAGGAACGCUGCGGUGUAGACAGCAUGCUGGACCUUUCUGCGCUGAGGCACGAAGGCGUGGGUAGCAAACAGG
rnacentral:rRNA from 1 species